rnacentral:lncRNA from 1 species
ACAUAACAUAGUAAGUAUAAAUCUGAGGAUCAUACAAAAUAAUUUGUAUGGUUAGCAGAUAUUAGGAGAACCAGGUCAUGAUUUGCCAAAUCUACCCAAAUAUAAUUAUUCAGUUAACAUUCUACUCAAUAAAAUCACAAUUUACGAUUUCUGAUGUCAGCAACAAGACUGAGACAAACUCCUGGAAUUUUCCUCAGACCUACUCAAAUAGAAAGAAGCCAAUUAGAUUUCUAGUCGUCAAAUGAUUGUUCCUUCGACCAUCAUUAUGGUUUCUUCUGAUAAUCAUUCCUCCAAGAACCGUUGUAGUUUCUUGACUUUCACUACCUAAACAAUGUAGCAGAAUAUUAUAUAAAAUGUUUGCUAAAUAGGUUAAAUGAAAGAAUGGAUAUGAAUAAUAACCAUCGCAAAAAUCUGCAAAUGCUGGCUGUAUGGGUAAACCCACAUAGGAAAGCCCGAUAUGUAUGAGUAAACCAAUUAAAGUGUCCUAAGAGGAUUAGACUUCAUUUAGAGUGUCCUAAGUGUAUAUCGAUGCAUUAAGACCAAGCAAGUUAUAAUUUUAAUAUAGCGUCGUACAUUAGUUUUUCAAAGGGAAAUUCCAUAAGUAAAUCGAUAAAUAUUACACAAAAUAUGUCUAUGUACGUUUUCUGUAUAUUUUUUCUUUAUCCUCAUCUGUCUAUGUACGUUGUUUGAUUAACUAUAUAAUAAAAACAAAAUAAAAUCAGUAUAUAAUAAAAUCAAAUCAAUUUAUGAUACGAUAAAAUAAAAUUAACAUAUUUUUAAACAUAUUUGAAAUUUUUUAGGAUGAGCAUCUAUAUUUCUAAUAAACAUUAUCAAGUCUGUAUAAGUGUCCAUAAGAAUGGUGUCGAAAGUUAUUGACUUCUCUAAAUAAGUUAAGAUUGAAAUAUAUAAUUAAUACUGUAAAGAUAAAUAUAAAAGAAUUGAUAUUAGUUUAAAAGUUCAACAAAUAUAUUUUAUUCUAUUAUUAAUUUAAAAUACCUAGAAUUAUCUUCACGUAACUUAAGAUGUUCAUUCAACUUUUUCAAAGUCAUCACUCUUUUUGGCAGUGACGUUGAUGUAAAACUGAACCACAAAGAAUUAAAGACAAUGCAAAAAACAUUGAGAACUACAUAAAACCCGACUAUCUGUUUUUUAUGGACAAUGCAUUAAACAAGUAACAACCACAGAGAGUCACGGAGUUCUAUGGAAAAUUUCGUUUUUUAUGGAAAAAAUAUGUCAUCACCAGCAUACAUUCAGUAUACUUUUCUUUAUCCUCAUCUGUCCACGUACGCUGUUUGAUUAACUAUAUAAUAAAAACAAAAUAAAAUAAGUCUAUAAUAAAAUCAAAUCAAUCUAUGAUACGAUAAAAUAAAAUUAGAAUAUUUUAAAUAAACAUACUUCAAAAUUUUCGGGAUGAACAUCUCUAUUUCUAAUAAGCAUUAACUGUGUUGUGUUAAUUGUUAUGUUAUUUCUUUUCUAUUCUGUACAUCAUGAAAGUGUCAAACAAGUACCAACAACAGUGCUAUAGACUCUAGCUAACUCAGAAGUUUAAGCUUUUGGCAGUGACGUUGAUGUAAAACUGAACCACAGAUAAUUAAAGACAAUGCAGAAAACGUUGAGAACUACAUAAAACCCGACUGACCGUUUUUUAUGGACAAUGCAUUAAACAAGUAACAAUCGUAGAGAGUCACGGAGUUUUAUGGAAAAUUUCGUUUUUUAUGGAAAAAAUAUGUCAUCACCAACAUACAUUCUGUAUACUUUUCUUUAUCCUCAUCUGUUCACGUACGCUGUUUGAUUAACUAUAUAAUAAAAACAAAAUAAAAUAAGUCUAUAAUAAAAUCAAAUCAAUCUAUGAUACGAUAAAAUAAAAUUAGAAUAUUUUAAAUAAACAUACUUCAAAAUUUUCGGGAUGAACAUCUCUAUUUCUAAUAAGCAUUAACUGUGUUGUGUUAAUUCUUAUAUUAUUUAUUGUCGUUAGCGAUAACGUUGUAAUAUAAAAAGUUCCCUUAUUGACGAAAAUAAAUUUUGUUGUAAGCUUAAUCGGAAACAUUUUAUUACUUUCAGAGUAAAAUAAUCCAUUAAAAAUAUUUCUAUAAAAAAAAUUAAUGUUAUAUAAAAUGAUGUAAUAAAAUACCUUAAUAUUACACUCAAUGCGUUAUAAUAUACAUCUUUUACUUCUUUCAGCUCUUUUAUGUAUCUGUAUAGGGUUAUUGCUUUUAGAUAUACAACAUAAGUUAUACACUUAUGUAUAAAUGUAUCAAAUACUAGUAGACAAUUUUUUAUUUGAAAAAUUGUUCAAAAGUAGAUAUUUCUUUACCAUCGAUAUAUUUUUCAACAUAUAUCAUAGGUAUUAUUUCACCAGAUGGAUUAUAUUGAAUAUAACCAUCUCUGAAUACUCCGACUUCCGCAUUUUCAACUAUAGAAAGAGUUGAAUAAACAUAAACUGAAGUUGUUUGACAUAAAUACAUGACAUUAACCUAAAAAAUAAAAUUAAAGAUGUAAAUAAUAAUAAAUAUAUAAAAUAACUAUAAAAAAAAUAUAUUUUUUAAUACCAUGGUAUCUGUCACUUUAUCGUUUAUAAUAAUUUCAUGAUGUUGGCUCCAUUUCUGAGAAAUGAGUAUCUUUAAAAAAAUAAAAUUUUAAAAUGCAUUUAAUUAAUUCGAUAAUCUUAAAUUUAUAUUAAAGUAUAUAUAUUUAAAAAUGUAUCAAAGAACUUAAUAACUUUUAUUGAAAUCAUGGUUCAAAAAUGCGAAAAGCGUUUCCAUUUUUCAAGAAGCGUUUUUUUCGUCUCAAAGGAAGGAUGGAUGAAUUAAUCACUGUAAUAAUUUGCAAAGCUACUCGACACUGUUUUAGAUACAGUGCUGUAGAUAACAAACCCAUUUUCUUUGCGUGUUUGAUGAUUUGCUUAGACAUAAGUAGCGACACAGGUUUCGGUGUUGAAAUAAAAAUAAAUUUUUGCAAGAGAAAGUAAUCACCCCCGAGCCUUUCAAAGGUGCUUUUAAAGCUUCAGUGGCUUUAAUAGCCCCUAUAUAAUUGUUAUGCCCCAGUGUCAUCGCUUUAAAGCGUCAAUGGCUUAGAAACUAAGGCAUUACAUUACAACACCUAAGGAAUGAAACUUUUAUGACUAAUGAGGAGGAAACACUGCUAAUGAAAUAUUAGUAAAUAUGUAAAAAUGAAAAGCACACUAUUUUCAUACUUUGUUUAAAAAGAAAUGAAAACUGCCGAUAAUGAAAUGGAAAUUGGAACAUGAAGUACAAUGAUAUGAAUACCAUGAUAAAAUAGUUUGAAAAUUGAAAAUGAAAAUCAACUGCUAGAAAUGAGGUCGAACUGUAUGAAUUAAUAAAAAGGAAGAAAAUUAAAUACCAACUGAGAAACGAACUAAAACAGUAGAUAUCAUGAUUGGAAAAAGCACAUUUUCAGACUUUGUUUGAAAAUAAUUGAAAUCUGCUAAAAAAUUUCAUUAUGAAAUUAAAAAAUAAAAUUCCGUAGAUAUGAAUAUCAUGAUUGGAAAAAAAGAAAAUUAAAAAUGAAAAGGAACUGAAUGAAAUGAAAUGAAUUAGAACAAUUUAGUAUAAAUUAAGACAAUGAACAGCAAGUGUGAGAAUGAAAAUGGAAAAAAUUAUAAAAAAAUAUUUCAUUGAAAAACAUAUAAAGUUUAUCAAUAUCUACCAUGAGGUUUUUCUUGGAGUUAAUCAAGAGACUCCGAAGAGAAUGAACUAACAAAUAUACGAAGACCAUGAUUGAAAAAAUUCAAAAAUUGAUUUGAAUAAUAGAAAUAUUUAUUUGAAGAAUAUCAUGAACUAUAACGAACAUAUGAAGACUGCGAUGGAAGAAAUUGAAAAAUUAAAUGACAACCAACUGCAUGAAUUAUUGUAGAUCAAUAUAGUAUAAAUUGAGGUGAAGUAGAGAAAAGAAAAUAAAUGUAUGAAUUAUUUGAGUUAGAACAUGAAACAAAUCGAGGAUGAAUAAUAAGGAAAAAAUACAGAUAAUCAAAGAGUAAUAAAUAUUUUAAAAAUCAAAACAACUCAUUUUUCAGACUCUGUUUAAAAAUAAAUGUAAUGUGCUGUACCUAUUUUCAGAGUUGAAAUACGCCGCGACACGCACCUUAAACACAGUGAGUGGUUGAUGAUUUCCUAUGUAGUAACACCCAAAAAAGGAAUUAGUUAAUAGUAAAUUAAAAAAAAUUGAAAGUAAAAUCAAGUAAACAACUCUCAAUAAAACAAGAACACGAAAAACAAGAAAACCAAAUAUAGUAGGAAAAUCAUUAAAAUAAAGUAAUUAAGAUAAAGUAAUUUAAAUGUAAAAUGUAGAAGAUAAAGACUAAGAAGAACUCCCACAAAAGUAAACAGUUCAAAGUAGAAGCAAAAAAUUGUAAAGUAAAUUUGGGAAAAUUAAAAGAUAGAACAGGUAGAACAAGUAGAAGACAAUGGAAGAUUUUAACUUCAAUAUAAAAGCACAAAGAUAAUGAACAGAAAGAUAUUAUUUUUUUACCUUGGAAGUAUGACGAGAGAAGAAACUGUAGAUCAGCCACGAUCUGAAAAGAAAAUCAGAAAGACUAAAGUGAAGAUCGUUGGCGCUGAAAGACGGAAGUGAAAGGUCGGCGCUGGGCUAAAAGACGGAAGUGAAGAUUGAAGAGUGAAGACGCUCGACAGAAGAAGGCUAAAAUCCUAAAACAUUAACCGUGUUGUGUUAAUUGUUAUAUUAUUUCUUUUCUAUUCUUCACAUCAUGAUAUUGUCAAACAAGUACCAACCACAGUGUUAUAGACUUUAGAUAGCUUAAGAGUUUAAGCUUUUGGCAGUGACGUUGAUGUAAAACUGAACCACAGAGAGUUAAGGACAAUGCAGAAAACGUUGAGGAAUCUGGUGUUCGCGGAAAGGGGUCGAUCUGUCCCUAGCAGUCAAAGACGUGGAACCACGACCGCUCAGGCGCUCGCUCGCGAAUACUCCGACACUCGCUCGCGGCCACUCCGGUGCUCGCUCUUCUCUCAGACGCUCGCGGAGAACCCACCAAACUCGCUCGCUCUCGGAGAACCCAAGGUGCUCGCUUGCGGAGACCCCGCUCGCUCGUAAAAACCCAAGGUGCUCGCUCGCUGCUUGUCCUAGAGAGCCACAGUGCUAUAGACUCUAGCUAACUUAGAAGUUUAAGUUUUUGGCAGUGACGUUGAUGUAAAACUGAACCACAAAGAAUAAAGACAAUGCAGAAAACAUUGAGAACCACAUAAAACCCGACUGUCUGUUUUUUACGGACAAUGCAUUAAACAAGUAACAACCACAUAGAGUCACAGAGUUUUAUGGACAAUUUCGUUUUUUAUGGACAAAAUAUGUCAUCACCAGCAUACAUUCUGUAUACUUUUCUUUAUCCUCGUCUGUCCAUGUACGUUGUUUGAUUAAUUAUAUAAUAAAAACAAAACAAAAUAAGUCUAUAAUAAAAUCAAAUCAAUCUAUGAUACGAUAAAAUAAAAUUAGCAUAUUUUAAAUAAACAUAUUUCAAAAUUUUCAGGAUAAGCAUCUCUAUUUCUAAUAAACAUUAACUGUGUUGUGUUAAUUGUUAUGUUAUUUCUUUUCUAUUCUUCACAUCAUGAAAGUGUCAAACAAGUACCAACAACAGUGCUAUAGACUCUAGCUAACUCAGAAGUUUAAGCUUUUGGCAGUGACGUUGAUGUAAAACUGAACCACAGAUAAUUAAAGACAAUGCAGAAAACGUUGAGAACUACAUAAAACCCGACUGACUGUUUUUUAUGGACAAUGCAUUAAACAAGUAACAAUCGCAGAGAGUCACGGAGUUUUAUGGACAAUUUCGUUUUUUAUGGACAAAAUAUGUCAUCACCAGCAUACAUUCUGUAUACUUUUCUUUAUCCUCAUCUGUCCACGUACGCUGUUUGAUUAACUAUAUAAUAAAAACAAAAUAAAAUAAAUCUAUAAUAAAAUCAAAUCAAUCUAUGAUACGAUAAAAUAAAAUUAGCAUAUUUUAAAUAAACAUACUUCAAAAUUUUCAGGAUGAGCAUCUCUAUUUCUAAUAAACAUUAACUGUGUUGUGUUAAUUGUUAUGUUAUUUCUUUUCUAUUCUUCACAUCAUGAUAGUGUCAAACAAGUACCAACAACAGUGCUAUAGACUCUAGCUAACUCAGAAGUUUAAGCUUUUUGCAGUGACGUUGAUGUAAAACUGAACCACAGAGAAUUAAAGACAAUGUAGAAAACGUUAAGAACUACAUAAAACCCGACUGUCCAUUUUUAACGGACAAUGCAUUAAACAAGUAACAACCACAUAGCGUCACGGAGUUCUAUAGAAAAUUUCGUUUUUCAUGGAUAAAAUAUGUCAUCACCAGCAUACAUUCUGUAUACUUUUCUUUAUCAUCAUCUGUCCACGUACGUUGUUUGAUUAAUUAUAUAAUAAAAACAAAACAAAAUAAGUCUAUAAUAAAAUCAAAUCAAUCUAUGAUACGAUAAAAUAAAAUUAGCAUAUUUUAAAUAAACAUAUUUCAAAAUUUUCAGGAUAAGCAUCUCUAUUUCUAAUAAACAUUAACUGUGUUGUGUUAAUUGUUAUGUUAUUUCUUUUCUAUUCUUCACAUCAUGAAAGUGUCAAACAAGUACCAACAACAGUGCUAUAGACUCUAGCUAACUCAGAAGUUUAAGCUUUUGGCAGUGACGUUGAUGUAAAACUGAACCACAGAUAAUUAAAGACAAUGCAGAAAACGUUGAGAACUACAUAAAACCCGACUGACCGUUUUUUAUGGACAAUGCAUUAAACAAGUAACAAUCGCAGAGAGUCACGGAGUUUUAUGGAAAAUUUCGUUUUUUAUGGAAAAAAUAUGUCAUCACCAGCAUACAUUCAGUAUACUUUUCUUUAUCCUCAUCUGUCCACGUACGCUGUUUGAUUAACUAUAUAAUAAAAACAAAAUAAAAUAAGUCUAUAAUAAAAUCAAAUCAAUCUAUGAUACGAUAAAAUAAAAUUAGAAUAUUUUAAAUAAACAUACUUCAAAAUUUUCGGGAUGAACAUCUCUAUUUCUAAUAAGCAUUAACUGUGUUGUGUUAAUUCUUAUAUUAUUUAUUGUCGUUAGCGAUAACGUUGUAAUAUAAAAAGUUCCCUUAUUGACGAAAAUAAAUUUUGUUGUAAGCUUAAUCGGAAACAUUUUAUUACUUUCAGAGUAAAAUAAUCCAUUAAAAAUAUUUCUAUAAAAAAAAUUAAUGUUAUAUAAAAUGAUGUAAUAAAAUACCUUAAUAUUACACUCAAUGCGUUAUAAUAUACAUCUUUUACUUCUUUCAGCUCUUUUAUGUAUCUGUAUAGGGUUAUUGCUUUUAGAUAUACAACAUAAGUUAUACACUUAUGUAUAAAUGUAUCAAAUACUAGUAGACAAUUUUUUAUUUGAAAAAUUGUUCAAAAGUAGAUAUUUCUUUACCAUCGAUAUAUUUUUCAACAUAUAUCAUAGGUAUUAUUUCACCAGAUGGAUUAUAUUGAAUAUAACCAUCUCUGAAUACUCCGACUUCCGCAUUUCCAACUAUAGAAAGAGUUGAAUAAACAUAAACUGAAGUUGUUUGACAUAAAUACAUGACAUUAACCUAAAAAAUAAAAUUAAAGAUGUAAAUAAUAAUAAAUAUAUAAAAUAACUAUAAAAAAAAUAUAUUUUUUAAUACCAUGGUAUCUGUCACUUUAUCGUUUAUAAUAAUUUCAUGAUGUUGGCUCCAUUUCUGAGAAAUGAGUAUCUUUAAAAAAAUAAAAUUUUAAAAUGCAUUUAAUUAAUUCGAUAAUCUUAAAUUUAUAUUAAAGUAUAUAUAUUUAAAAAUGUAUCAAAGAACUUAAUAACUUUUAUUGAAAUCAUGGUUCAAAAAUGCGAAAAGCGUUUCCAUUUUUCAAGAAGCGUUUUUUUCGUCUCAAAGGAAGGAUGGAUGAAUUAAUCACUGUAAUAAUUUGCAAAGCUACUCGACACUGUUUUAGAUACAGUGCUGUAGAUAACAAACCCAUUUUCUUUGCGUGUUUGAUGAUUUGCUUAGACAUAAGUAGCGACACAGGUUUCGGUGUUGAAAUAAAAAUAAAUUUUUGCAAGAGAAAGUAAUCACCCCCGAGCCUUUCAAAGGUGCUUUUAAAGCUUCAGUGGCUUUAAUAGCCCCUAUAUAAUUGUUAUGCCCCAGUGUCAUCGCUUUAAAGCGUCAAUGGCUUAGAAACUAAGGCAUUACAUUACAACACCUAAGGAAUGAAACUUUUAUGACUAAUGAGGAGGAAACACUGCUAAUGAAAUAUUAGUAAAUAUGUAAAAAUGAAAAGCACACUAUUUUCAUACUUUGUUUAAAAAGAAAUGAAAACUGCCGAUAAUGAAAUGGAAAUUGGAACAUGAAGUACAAUGAUAUGAAUACCAUGAUAAAAUAGUUUGAAAAUUGAAAAUGAAAAUCAACUGCUAGAAAUGAGGUCGAACUGUAUGAAUUAAUAAAAAGGAAGAAAAUUAAAUACCAACUGAGAAACGAACUAAAACAGUAGAUAUCAUGAUUGGAAAAAGCACAUUUUCAGACUUUGUUUGAAAAUAAUUGAAAUCUGCUAAAAAAUUUCAUUAUGAAAUUAAAAAAUAAAAUUCCGUAGAUAUGAAUAUCAUGAUUGGAAAAAAAGAAAAUUAAAAAUGAAAAGGAACUGAAUGAAAUGAAAUGAAUUAGAACAAUUUAGUAUAAAUUAAGACAAUGAACAGCAAGUGUGAGAAUGAAAAUGGAAAAAAUUAUAAAAAAAUAUUUCAUUGAAAAACAUAUAAAGUUUAUCAAUAUCUACCAUGAGGUUUUUCUUGGAGUUAAUCAAGAGACUCCGAAGACAAUGCAGAAAACAUUGAGAACCACAUAAAACCCGACUGUCUGUUUUUUACGGACAAUGCAUUAAACAAGUAACAACCACAUAGAGUCACGGAGUUUUAUGGACAAUUUCUUUUUUUAUGGACAAAAUAUGUCAUCACCAGCAUAUAUUCUGUAUACUUUUCUUUAUCCUCAUCUGUCCACUUACGCUUUUUGAUUAACUAUAUAAUAAAAACAAAACAAAAUAAGUUUAUAAUAAAAUAAAAUCAAUCUAUAAUACGAUAAAAUAAAAUUGGCAUAUUUUAAAUAAAUAUACUUGAAAAUUUUCAGAAUGAGCAUCCAUAAUUUUAAUAAACAUUAACUGUGUCGUGUUAAUUUUUAUAUUAUUUCUUUUCUAUUCUUCACAUCAUGAUAGUGUCAAACAAGUACCAACCACAGUGUUAUAGACUCUAGCUAGCUUAGGAGUUUAAGCUUUUGUCACUGACGUCGAUGUAAAAUUGAACCACAGAGAGUUAAGGACAAUGAAGAAAACGUUGAAAACCACAGAGAACCGACUGUCCAUUUUUUAUGGACAAUGCAUUAAACAAGUAACAACCACAGAGAGUCACGGAGUUCUGUGGACAAUUUCGUUUUUUAUGGACAAAAUAUGUUAUCACCAGCGUACAUUCUGUAUACUUUUCUUUAUCCUUAUCUGUCCACGUACGCUGUUUGAUUAACUAUAUAAUAAAAACAAAACAAGUUUAUAUUAAAAUAAAAUCAAUCUAUAAUACGAUAAAAUAAAAUUAGCAUAUUUUAAAUAAACAUACUUGGAAAUUUUCAGGCUGAGCAUCCAUAUUUUUAAUAAACAUUAACUGUGUCGUGUUAAUUGUUAUAUUAUUUCUUUUCUAUUCUUCACAUCAUGAUAGUGUCAAAUAAGUACCAACCACAGUAUUAUAGACUCUAGCUAGCUUAGGAGUUUAAGCUUUUGACACUGACGUUGAUGUAAAAUUGAACCACAGAGAGUUAAUGACAAUGCAGAAAACGUUGAGAACCACAGAGAACCCGACUGUCCAUUUAUUACGGACAAUGCAUUAGACAAGUAACAACCACAGAGAGUCACGGAGUUCUAUGGACAAUUUCGUUUUUUAUGGACAAAAUAUGUUAUUACCAGCGUACAUUCUGUAUACUUUUUCUUUAUCCUCAUCUGUCCACGUACGUUGUUUGAUUAACUAUAUAAUAAAAACAAAAUAAGUCUACAAUAAAAUCAAAUCAAUCUAUGCUUCGAUAAAAUAAACUUAGCAUAUUUUAAAUAAACUUAAAAAUUUUCAGGAUGAGCAUCC